rnacentral:rRNA from 1 species
UACGAAGGGGGGUAGCGUUGCUCGGAAUUACUGGGCGUAAAGGGCGCGUAGGCGGACAGUUUAGUCAGAGGUGAAAGCCCAGGGCUCAACCUUGGAAUUGCCUUUGAUACUGGCUGUCUUGAGUUCGGGAGAGGUGAGUGGAAUGCCGAGUGUAGAGGUGAAAUUCGUAGAUAUUCGCAAGAACACCAGUGGCGAAGGCGGCUCACUGGCCCGGAACUGACGCUGAGGUGCGAAAGCGUGGGGAGCAAACAGG